rnacentral:lncRNA from 1 species
ACAAAUCAACAUAUAUGUUAAUUACCUUGGCCUAGUCUAAAUAAUAUGCCACGAGGUGCCAAAAAAAACGCAUUGCAAAUAACCAAUUAAUUUGAGUUUAACAUAAUUAUUCACUUACCUAUAUGUUUAUUUCGAUAAAUAAACAUGAUCCAGCAUGUAAGCUAGGAAAAAAUAAAUCCUUAAUAUCGUAAUAUAAAAGAAUAAGUUAGGCUAACUCCAAUACGCAGGUAACCUGUGAGAAAGUAAACACACAUAAUACAAUAACACAACGGUACGGCGUAGAUCCGAAACUUUUCACGAUUUGUAAACAG